rnacentral:rRNA from 1 species
GACAGAGGGGGCAAGCGUUGCUCGGAAUUACUGGGCGUAAAGGGCGCGUAGGCGGAAUGGCAAGUCGGUCGUGAAAUCCUUCGGCUCAACCGAAGAACGUCGAUCGAAACUGCCGUUCUUGAGGAUUGCAGAGGAGACUGGAAUUCCCGGUGUAGCGGUGAAAUGUGUAGAGAUCAGCAGGAACCACCCGUGGCGAAGGCGGCCCCCUGGGCCGUACCU